rnacentral:rRNA from 1 species
GACGAACGCUGGCGGCGUGCUUAACACAUGCAAGUCGAACGGAAAGGCCCUGCUUUUGUGGGGUGCUCGAGUGGCGAACGGGUGAGUAACACGUGAGUAACCUGCCCUUGACUUUGGGAUAACUUCAGGACACUGGGGCUAAUACCGGAUAGGAGCUCCUGCGGCAUGGUGGGGGUUGGAAAGUUUCGGCGGUUGGGGAUGGACUCGCGGCUUAUCAGCUUGUUGGUGGGGUAGUGGCUUACCAAGGCUUUGACGGGUAGCCGGCCUGAGAGGGUGACCGGCCACGUUGGGACUGAGAUACGGCCCAGACUCCUACGGGAGGCAGCAGUGGGGAAUAGUGCACAGUGGGCGGAAGCCUGAUGCAGCAACGCCGCGUGCGGGAUGACGGCCUUCGGGUUGUAAACCGCUUUCGCCUGUGACGAAGCGUGAGUGACGGUAAUGGGUAAAGAAGCACCGGCUAACUACGUG